UACGUAGGGUGCGAGCGUUAAUCGGAAUUACUGGGCGUAAAGCGUGCGCAGGCGGCUUUGCAAGACAGAUGUGAAAUCCCCGGGCUCAACCUGGGAACUGCAUUUGUGACUGCAAGGCUAGAGUACGGCAGAGGGGGAUGGAAUUCCGCGUGUAGCAGUGAAAUGCGUAGAUAUGCGGAGGAACACCAAUGGCGAAGGCAAUCCCCUGGGCCUGUACUGCCGCGCAUGCACGAAAGCGUGGGGAGCAAACAGG
rnacentral:rRNA from 1 species